rnacentral:lncRNA from 1 species
UUGCGCUCUCCGUUUCAGCCCCCACAGCGUCCCGCUCUACGCCUGCACUGCCAGUCCGUGCGCGAAGUGUUCGGUACGCACCCGCGGACCCACGGCCGCGGUCGCCGGGGUUGGGGUGCAAAGGGCACGGCGCGGGGAGGGUGGGGAAGGCCGUACAGCCGGCUCGGAGCAGGCACGGCGCUGCGGCGGACAGCGCGCGGUGCGUCGCGCCGAGGGGGGCCGAGGGCCGAUAGUGGGGUUCUGGUGCGGACGUCCCCGGGCUGGACGGGCGGUGCGCGGUGCCGUCGUUGUGCGGCUCUCCUUGCCGCAGCACGGCAUCCACCCGCACCUUCGCGUUUCCUUGUGAAGGUGGAGAGGUGUCUUCCCCCCUCCUUUUUCCUUCCCAGGAAUUCAUGCGUUUCCCCUCUCCCGCGAGCCGCAGCCGCGGAGGAGGAUGGAGAAGCGCGGUGGAAAUGUUCGUGGGCGCCCAGCACAAGGGCGGCGGGGCCCCGCGCGGCAGCACCGGGAGGAACCGCGCAUCCCCGCAGAAAGGGCCGGAGGGGCCGCCUAUCCCUGCGGCCGCUGGGCGACAACAGUCGCCUUCCUCUAGCCCCUUUCUCUUUACCCUCUCCUCCUCCACCUCCGCCACCGCCAAUGCCGCGGGGGCGCUCGGGGGGGCAACGGGCAACGACCGGGCUGCCGGGCACUCCCGGCCACUCGCCCCCGACGUGGGGCAGCGGGAGGGGGAGCGCGGGAGCGGCGCUCCGCCAUAUUCCUGUCUCACCACGCCCGCGUAGCCGAGCCAUUGAAAAGCCGGGCGAGCCCGGCCCCCGCUGCCUCCUCUUCCUCUCCGCCGGGUUCUGUCCGCCCGCCCCCUCUCCCGUCUUCCCUGUCAGGGUCGAGCCGUGCCGCGGUAGCUCAACGGCAGCGGCUGUCCCCGCCAGAGGGGCGGGCGAGGAAGCUCCCUCGCCGGGCGCAGCCGAGGUCGCUGGGCUCCGACUCCAGGGCGAGGGCAGCGGCCGGGCGAUGCCCGCGCGUAGGUUCGGCGGGCUCUAG